AACGAACGCUGGCGGCAUGCCUAACACAUGCAAGUCGAACGAGACCUUCGGGUCUAGUGGCGCACGGGUGCGUAACGCGUGGGAACCUGCCCUUAGGUUCGGAAUAACUCCCCGAAAGGGGUGCUAAUACCGGAUAAUGUCUUCGGACCAAAGAUUUAUCGCCUUUGGAUGGGCCCGCGUUGGAUUAGCUAGUUGGUAGGGUAAAAGCCUACCAAGGCGACGAUCCAUAGCUGGUCUGAGAGGAUGAUCAGCCACACUGGGACUGAGACACGGCCCAGACUCCUACGGGAGGCAGCAGUGGGGAAUAUUGGACAAUGGGCGAAAGCCUGAUCCAGCAAUGCCGCGGGAGUGAUGAAGGCCUUAGGGUUGUAAAGCUCUUUUACCCGGGAUGAUAAUGACAGUACCGGGAGAAUAAGCGCCGGCUAACUCCGUG
rnacentral:rRNA from 1 species